UGGGGAAUAUUGCACAAUGGGCGGAAGCCUGAUGCAGCGACGCCGCGUGGGGGAUGAAGGCCUUCGGGUUGUAAACUCCUUUCGACAGGGACGAAGCUUUUGUGACGGUACCUGUAUAAGAAGCACCGGCUAACUACGUUCCAGCAGCCGCGGUAAUACGUAGGGUGCGAGCGUUGUCCGGAAUUACUGGGCGUAAAGAGCUCGUAGGUGGUUUGUCGCGUCGUCUGUGAAAUUCCGGGGCUUAACUCCGGGCGUGCAGGCGAUACGGGCUGACUUGAGUGCUGUAGGGGAGACUGGAAUUCCUGGUGUAGCGGUGAAAUGCGCAGAUAUCAGGAGGAACACCGAUGGCGAAGGCAGGUCUCUGGGCAGUAACUGACGCUGAGGAGCGAAAGCAUGGGUAGCGAACAGG
rnacentral:rRNA from 1 species